CUGAGAAAAGGCCUCAACUCCCUUGUGGCUCUCACCGCUUGGAGCAUCUGGAAGCAUCGCAAUGCCGCUCUCUUCGACGACCUCCGACCAUGUACCGACGCCCUUAUUCACACCAUCAAGGAGGAGGCCCGGCUUUGGUCCAGAGCCGGCGCCCUAGGCUUAGCAUCUAUUAUCCCUAUAACCUAG
rnacentral:rRNA from 1 species